rnacentral:lncRNA from 1 species
GUGCUCCAGGCCUGUGCAGUCACCUUUGCCUCCUGUCCCCUGUGCACCCUCGGGGCUACAAGUGUGCAUGUCCAGAGGGGCUCUUCCUCCUGCCCUCGGGGAAGUGCACAGGUGAGCAGUGUCUGCAAGGUGGGCUUGGCUGUCUGGGGUGGGAUGCAUCCCUGUGGGAGUCAGAGGGAUGGGAUGAUGUUCCCAGCACACACCAGUGCUGUUACGUUUCUUUGUUCAUGCUGGCAACCCCAUCCACUGCCCCUGGGGCCAUGCUCACACACUGCCCUUGUACCCUGCAGAGCUGUCCAUCGUGUAUGCAUCAGGGGAGGCCAUCUUCCUGGUGCAGGUGGGCCCUGGAGCACACAGCAGACGGGUGCAGGAGUGGAAGGAGCCACUCCACCUGCAAGAUGUGGACUGGCAGAGGUCAGUGCUCUACGGGACAGAUGACUAUGGGACGCUGCUGCGUGUUGUGGGGCACCCUGGCAGGAGAGAGGCCAUUGCGACUAGGCUGCCAGUCUGCUCUGCCCGUGUGGACAUCCGCUCAGGGGACCUGUACUGGCUUGCAUGUAACCGGAGGGACAUCGGGGUGAUCCGGGCAUCUGACAUGUCCCCGCGCAUCCUGCACCGUGCUCGCAGCAGCAUCCAGCACCUCUUCUUGGACUGGCGGCGGGGCACGCUGUACUGGCUAGCCCGUGGGCAGCCCCUGCAGCAGCUGAGCCUGUCUGGAGGUGCUCCGUGGGAUGUCUGGAACGAAACGUGGCCUGGAGACCUGCCUGCGGCCAUGGAUAGCAGAGCCUUCACCCUGCUCUGGAGCUCAGCCCUGGGCCUGCGGGCGCUCAGUCUGACCAAGCGGCAAGCAGUCACCCUGGCACCCAGCUGGUCCCACGGCCUCGUGGCUGCCUUCGAGCCAUACCUGGUGUCGGCAAACGGGACAGCUCUGCUGCUGUGGGACCGGAGGACGCUGGCCCUCUUGCUGUCCGUGCCGGCAGCAGGCGUGCAGGGAGUGGUGGCUUUCGUGGGCUCAGAGCUGCAGGCUGG